rnacentral:rRNA from 1 species
GACGAACGCUGGCGGCGUGCUUAACACAUGCAAGUCGAACGGAAAGGCCCUGCUUUUGUGGGGUGCUCGAGUGGCGAACGGGUGAGUAACACGUGAGUAACCUGCCCUUGACUUUGGGAUAACUUCAGGAAACUGGGGCUAAUACCGGAUAGGAGCUCCUGCUGCAUGGUGGGGGUUGGAAAGUUUCGGCGGUUGGGGAUGGACUCGCGGCGUAUCAGCUUGUUGGUGGGGUAGUGGCUUACCAAGGCUUUGACGGGUAGCCGGCCUGAGAGGGUGACCGGCCACAUUGGGCCUGAGAUACGGCCCAGACUCCUACGGGAGGCAGGAGUGGGGAAUAUUGCACAAGGGGAGGAAGCCUGAUGCAGCAACGCCGCGUGCGGGAUGACGGCCUUCGGGUUGUAAACCGCUUUCGCCUGUGACGAAGCGUGAGUGACGGUAAUGGGUAAAGAAGCACCGGCUAACUACGUG